UCCGGUUUGUCACCGGCAGUCUCCCUAGAGUGCCCUUGCGUAGCAACUAGGGACAAGGGUUGCGCUCGUUGCGGGACUUAACCCAUCAUCUCACGACACAAGCUGACGACAGCCAUGCACCACCUGUGCACGAGCCCCGAAGGGCUGCCGUAUUUCUACGACAUUCCCGUGCAUGUCAAGCCUUGGUAAGGUUCUUCGCGUCGCGUCGAAUUAAACAACAUACUCCACCGCUUGUGCAGGCCCCCGUCAAUUUCUUUGAGUUUUAAUCUUGCGACCGUACUUCCCAGGCGGCUUAUUUAACGCGUUUGCUACGCCACAAAAGGGGUCGAUUCCUUUUACAGCAAAUAAGCACCGUCUACGGCUAGGACUAC
rnacentral:misc_RNA from 1 species